rnacentral:misc_RNA from 1 species
CAGAGUUAUCCAACUCCCAAAACCCAUGUGAACUUAUCUCUUUGUUGCCUCGGCGCAAGCUACCCGGGACCUCGCGCCCCGGGCGGCCCGCCGGCGGAACAAACCAAAACUCUUGUUAUCUUAGUUGAUUAUCUGAGUGUCUUAUUUAAUAAGUCA